CUGAUGCGUUGUUGGGUAGGGGAGCGUUCUGUAAGCCUGUGAAGGUGGCCUGUGAGGGUUGCUGGAGGUAUCAGAAGUGCGAAUGCUGACAUAAGUAACGAUAAAGCGGGUGAAAAGCCCGCUCGCCGGAAGACCAAGGGUUCCUGUCCAACGUUAAUCGGGGCAGGGUGAGUCGACCCCUAAGGCGAGGCCGAAAGGCGUAGUCGAUGGGAAACGGGUUAAUAUUCCCGUACUUGGUGUUACUGCGAAGGGGGGACGGAGAAGGCUAUGUUGGCCGGGCGACGGUUGUCCCGGUUUAAGCGUGUAGGUGUGUGUUCCAGGUAAAUCCGGUUCACUUUAACACUGAGGCGUGACGACGAGGUACUACGGUGCUGAAGCAACAAAUGCCCUGCUUCCAGGAAAAGCCUCUAAGCAUCAGGUAACAUCAAAUCGUACCCCAAACCGACACAGGUGGUCAGGUAGAGAAUACCAAGGCGCUUGAGAGAACUCGGGUGAAGGAACUAGGCAAAAUGGUGCCGUAACUUCGGGAGAAGGCACGCUGACAUGUAGGUGAAGUGAUUUACUCAUGGAGCUGAAGUCAGUCGAAGAUACCAGCUGGCUGCAACUGUUUAUUAAAAACACAGCACUGUGCAAACACGAAAGUGGACGUAUACGGUGUGACGCCUGCCCGGUGCCGGAAGGUUAAUUGAUGGGGUCAGCGCAAGCGAAGCUCCUGAUCGAAGCCCCGGUAAACGGCGGCCGUAACUAUAACGGUCCUAAGGUAGCGAAAUUCCUUGUCGGGUAAGUUCCGACCUGCACGAAUGGCGUAAUGAUGGCCAGGCUGUCUCCACCCGAGACUCAGUGAAAUUGAACUCGCUGUGAAGAUGCAGUGUACCCGCGGCAAGACGGAAAGACCCCGUGAACCUUUACUAUAGCUUGACACUGAACAUUGAGCCUUGAUGUGUAGGAUAGGUGGGAGGCUUUGAAGUGUGGACGCCAGUCUGCAUGGAGCCGACCUUGAAAUACCACCCUUUAAUGUUUGAUGUUCUAACGUGGACCCGUGAUCCGGGUUGCGGACAGUGUCUGGUGGGUAGUUUGACUGGGGCGGUCUCCUCCUAAAGAGUAACGGAGGAGCACGAAGGUUGGCUAAUCCUGGUCGGACAUCAGGAGGUUAGUGCAAUGGCAUAAGCCAGCUUGACUGCGAGCGUGACGGCGCGAGCAGGUGCGAAAGCAGGUCAUAGUGAUCCGGUGGUUCUGAAUGGAAGGGCCAUCGCUCAACGGAUAAAAGGUACUCCGGGGAUAACAGGCUGAUACCGCCCAAGAGUUCAUAUCGACGGCGGUGUUUGGCACCUCGAUGUCGGCUCAUCACAUCCUGGGGCUGAAGUAGGUCCCAAGGGUAUGGCUGUUCGCCAUUUAAAGUGGUACGCGAGCUGGGUUUAGAACGUCGUGAGACAGUUCGGUCCCUAUCUGCCGUGGGCGCUGGAGAACUGAGGGGGGCUGCUCCUAGUACGAGAGGACCGGAGUGGACGCAUCACUGGUGUUCGGGUUGUCAUGCCAAUGGCACUGCCCGGUAGCUAAAUGCGGAAGAGAUAAGUGCUGAAAGCAUCUAAGCACGAAACUUGCCCCGA
rnacentral:rRNA from 1 species